GAUGAACGCUAGCUACAGGCUUAACACAUGCAAGUCGAGGGGAAACGACAUCGAAAGCUUGCUUUUGAUGGGCGUCGACCGGCGCACGGGUGAGUAACGCGUAUCCAACCUGCCCACCACUUGGGGAUAACCUUGCGAAAGUAAGACUAAUACCCAAUGAUAUCCCACGAAGGCAUCGGAAUGGGAUUAAAGAUUUAUCGGUGAUGGAUGGGGAUGCGUCUGAUUAGCUUGUUGGCGGGGUAACGGCCCACCAAGGCGACGAUCAGUAGGGGUUCUGAGAGGAAGGUCCCCCACAUUGGAACUGAGACACGGUCCAAAACUCCUACGGGAGGCAGCAGUGAGGAAUAUUGGUCAAUGGGCGGAAGCCUGAACCAGCCAAGUAGCGUGCAGGACGACGGCCCUAUGGGUUGUAAACUGCUUUAUAAGGGAAUAAAGUGAGUCUCGUGAGGCUUUUUGCAUGUACCUUAUGACUAAGGACCGGCUAAUUCCGUG
rnacentral:rRNA from 1 species